GUGAUCGAGACUAACCUAACGGUUUCUUCUACUACCAGUUAGAUAAUAGACUCUAGUUCUAGUGUACACUUGUGCACUUCAAUGCAGGAUCUUAAGGAUGUAGAAGGUUAAGGCUCAGAGAGAUGACCCUAUGAGUAGGCAACGAAGCAAGAGUUGCUGCUGUGGUCGUAGGGACCUAUUUUCUUCGACUACCAUCUGAUUUCUGUCUAGAACUAAGAGACUAUUACUGUGUACC
rnacentral:lncRNA from 1 species